rnacentral:rRNA from 1 species
UACGUAGGGGGCGAGCGUUGUCCGGAUUCAUUGGGCGUAAAGAGCUCGUAGGCGGCUUCGUAAGUCAGGUGUGAAACCUCCAGGCUCAACCUGGAGCCGCCACCUGAUACUGCGAUGGCUUGAGUCCAGUAGGGGCGCGCGGAAUUCCUGGUGUAGCGGUGAAAUGCGCAGAUAUCAGGAAGAACACCAAUGGCGAAAGCAGCUCUCUGGGACGGUACUGACGCUGAGACGCGAAAGCGUGGGGAGCGAACAGG